rnacentral:rRNA from 1 species
UGGAAUUGCUCGGCAAACUACUGUUCUUGAGGCAAGUAGGGGUACAUGGAACUCUGGUGGGAGCGGUGGAAUGCGUAGAUAUCAAGAGGAACGCCAAUGGUGAAGACAGUGUACUGGGCUUGUCCUGACGCUGAGGUGCGAAAGCGUGGGGAGCGAACGGGAUUAGAUACCCCGGUAGUCCACGCCGUAAACGAUGUCUACUAGGUUGUGGGGGUUCUGACGCCAUCACAGCCGAAGCAAAAGUGUUAAGUAGACCGCCUGGGGAGUACGGUCGCAAGGCUAAAACUCAAAGGAAUUGACGGGGGCUCACACAAGCGGUGGAGCAUGUGGAUUAAUUCGAAGCAACGCGCAGAACCUUACCUGGGUUUGACAUGCUUGGAUGCUUACCUGGAAACAGGUGGAGCUGCCCUUCGGGGUGAAACUUGCACAGGUGCUGCAUGGCUGUCGUCAGCUCGUGUCGUGAGAUGUCGGGUUAAGUCCUUUAACGAGCGAAACCCUUGCCGUUAGUUGCCAGCGGGUCAUGCCGGGGACUCUAGCGGGACUGCCGGUGUUAAACCGGAGGAAGGUGGGGAUGACGUCAAGUCCUCAUGGCCUUUAUGCCCAGGGCCUCACACGUGCUACAAUGGCGACUACAGAGCGAAGCGAGACCGCGAGGUGGAGCAAAUCGCAAAAAGGUCGCCCCAGUUCGGAUUGCAGGCUGUCAACUCGCCUGCAUGAAGUUGGAAUCGCUAGUAAUCGCGUAUCAGCUAUGACGCGGUGAAUGUGUUCCUGAGCCUUGUACACACCGCCCGUCAAGUGAUGGAAGUCGGGAGCACCCGAAGUCGGAUUGCUAACCUCACGGAGGCGUCUGCCUACGGUGAGCUCGAUGACUGGCACUAAGUCGUAACAAGGUAGCCGUAGGGGAACCUGCGGCUGGAUCACCU